GACGAACCGUGCGAACGUUGUUCGGAUUCACUGGGCUUAAAGGGCGCGUAGGCGGACUCGCAAGUCUGUGGUGAAAGCCCCCAGCUCAACUGGGGAAGUGCCGUGGAUACUGCAAGUCUGGAGGAGGGUAGGGGCAUCUGGAACGCUGGGUGGAGCGGUGAAAUGCGUUGAUAUCCAGCGGAACUCCGGUGGCGAAGGCGAGGUGCUGGACCCUUCGACGCUGAUGCGCGAAAGCCAGGGAGCAAGCGGGGAUAAGCAUACC
rnacentral:rRNA from 1 species